rnacentral:rRNA from 1 species
GAUGAACGCUGGCGGCGUGCCUAAUACAUGCAAGUCGAGCGAACAGACGAGGAGCUUGCUCCUCUGACGUUAGCGGCGGACGGGUGAGUAACACGUGGAUAACCUACCUAUAAGACUGGGAUAACUUCGGGAAACCGGAGCUAAUACCGGAUAAUAUAUUGAACCGCAUGGUUCAAUAGUGAAAGACGGUUUUGCUGUCACUUAUAGAUGGAUCCGCGCCGCAUUAGCUAGUUGGUAAGGUAACGGCUUACCAAGGCAACGAUGCGUAGCCGACCUGAGAGGGGGAUCGGCCACACUGGAACUGAGACACGGUCCAGACUCCUACGGGAGGCAGCAGUAGGGAAUCUUCCGCAAUGGGCGAAAGCCUGACGGAGCAACGCCGCGUGAGUGAUGAAGGUCUUCGGAUCGUAAAACUCUGUUAUUAGGGAAGAACAAAUGUGUAAGUAACGAUGCACGUCUUGACGGUACCUAAUCAGAAAGCCACGGCGAACUACGU